GUCAGUGUGGUUUAGUGGUUUGAGUGUUGGACAGAAUCCUGAAAUCAGGGUUCAAAUUCCUGUUCAGUCA